rnacentral:miRNA from 1 species
UGAGGCAGGAGAAUUGCUUGAACCCAGGAGAUGGAGGCUGCAGUGAGCCGAGAUUGUGCCACUGCACUCCAGCCUCGGUGACAGAGCGAGACUCCAUCUC